CCCAGGAACCGGCAGCCUAUGUGCUGAUCCGAUGCAGAGCUAAUCUUUUCUGAGACAUCCUCUCCUUCAGGGUCCAGCCUCCCAUAGUUUUGCUUCCCUGGGACAUGCUCUUCUCUGUGUCAACCCAAAGUCUGAAAAUGGCCCAUCAACUUUUCCCAUGGAAGGUCUGCCCUACCCUGCUUAAUCUGAGAUCAAGCACAGGCCCUAUAAGUGUACAUCUGGGUCAUGCUCUAUGAAGAGACUGUUGUUAUCAAUGAGUUCGAUGCAUAUAUUUGUUAGCACUGACAGAUUCAGACACAGAUAUUUUCCACCUCCAAUGUUCAGAUCUGGUGUAGCUGCUGGGAGCCCUGGGCUGGAUAUGUACCCAGGUGACUCAUGGGGAAGGAUGCACCCUUCUGAGAAGCAUCACCUUUCUCAAGAAGCAUGACAGAGCUCCCGAUAUUAGACUUUCAAGACGUCUACCAGGCCUUCUUUGGAAUAAAUUGUGUCAUUGAAUGGGAAGAAGAGCUGCCAGGUCCUGGGAGAACAAGAACAGUGCUUUCUCCAAAUUUUAACAGGAGUACACGGUGGGAGUGAGAGCUAGUUUUCCUGUAGUAGAAGCUGAAGACAGAGUAAAAAUAAUUAACUCAUGGGAAAAAUAAAUAAACAAACAAUUGGACUCAGCCAGAGGAAAAAGAUAGUUAAAACCAAAACAUGUAACGCAACCUAGAACAGUCUGUGUAAUCUAGCCUCUGCUGUCAACUUAAUCUACCAUCACGUGCCCCAUUAUUCACGGGGCUCCACCUUGUAUUCCAGUUGUUCCUCUCUGGAACAUUUUAUGUCUUUUCUCUCUGAGGGACUCAGCUCUUGGUAUUUGCCUUGCUCAGAAAUCUCUUCCAUAGAUCUUCACAAUGGCCGGCUUGUCUUAGGUCUUAGUUCAAAUAUCACCCGCUCAGAGAGACCUUGCCUGACUUCCACUAUAUACAUGGAGGGUUUCCAGAACAAAUGAAGGUAUUGAACAAAUGAGCUCCAUAAAAAUGGAAACAGGGUGCUCUGCUUGGUUUUUCAGAAAAAUGGAAAUAGCGGCCUCACACAUAGAGUUGACAUUCCUGAGAUUAUCCAGUAGAUCUGGACUCUGGAGCUCUGAGUCUAAAUGUACUGCUAUCCAGACAGAGUCUGCAGAGGGACCUCUUGUCAUUAACUACUGUGCACCUACAAUUUGUUAUCAAUGAAAUGUGUGUAGCUUUUAUUUCAUGGCCUUGGGAAGCAUCCUUAAAUCUUUUAUCCUUUAGUUUCUUCAUCUGAGGUUAACAAUAUAUGUAUUUUGAAAGGCUAUAGAAACUGGGAAGAAACAUUUGCAACUUAUAGCACAAAGAGUUAAUAACCAUAAUAUGUAAAGAGCUUCAAAAAAUAUAGAAGAAAAAAGCCAACACAUCUAUGAAAAAUGGGUUGGAAAUAUGAGCAGAGAGUUCACAGAAAAAGAAAGGAAAAUGGAUCCUGCAUAUAUGAAAAGACUCUCAACCAUACUUUCAGUGAAUACACUUUCAAACUUCAUUGAGAUACAAUAUUCUCUCCUGUCAGGCUGACAAAAAUCUAAAAGAUUGACAGCAUAUUUUGUUGGUGAGGCUGUGGUGAAAUAGAUGCUUCCAUACAUUGCUAGUGGGAAUGUAAAAUGGCAUAAGCCUCAUGAAUGGGAAUUUGAUAUAUCUAGUAAAAUUACAUAUGCAUUUUCCCUUUGAUCCAGUAAUCCAACUUCUAGGAAUCUAUCCAAAAAUAUGUUGUAAAACUACACAAAUACUUUUAUAUGUGACUAUACAUUGCAGCAUUGUUUAUAAUAGCAAAAGCUUGGAAAUUGGUUGAAUAAGGCAAUGGAAGGUCCACUCAGUGGAAUACUAUGCAGCUAUAAACAACAAGAAGACGACCUCUGUAUUAGUCUGCUUUCAUGCUGCUGAUAAAGACAGAUUUGAGACUGGGCAAUUUAUAAAAGAGGUAUAUAAUGGACUUACAGUUCCACAUGGCUGGGGAAGCCUCACAAUCAUGGUGGAAGGUGAAAGGCACAUCUCACAUGGCAUCAGACAAGAGAAGAGAGCUUGUUCAGGGAAACUCCCCUUUUUAAAACCAUCAGAUCUUGUGAGACUCAUUCGCUGUCACGAGAAUAGCAUGGGAAACACCCGUCCCCGUAAUUCAAUCACCUCCCACGACAUGUGGAAAUUAUGGAAGUUUCAAUUCCAGAUGAGAUUUGGGUGGGGACACAGCCAAACCAUAUCAACCUCUAUACAUUGCCAUGAAGCGAUGACCCCAAUAACAUGUUCAGUGAGGAGAAUUCUUGGCCCUUGUGUAUUUUUUUUUUCUUUAAGUAAUCUGCAUUGAACAAGUCUUAAAUUUACAGUUAGAAAAAUCAAUAGUAUAUUUUGUUUUAUUUUGAAUUACCCAGAAGCUCAUGAACUUUCUGACCAAAAUCCUUUCCCAGAAAGUUUGUCAGUUGAGAACCUGUGAAGUCCAAUUCAUUUAUAUGUUAAGAUUUGUGCUAUGGGAUGUUGACAGCCUGGUGAAAUUGACCCAGCCUGGCAUGAUCCUGGAGUCUAUUUGAAAGGUGCAGGUUCAGAAAGCAGAGUGCUUCACAGGCUGCCACAUUCCUCUGAAGAUAAUCUGCAGGUUGUACCUGCUGCCACUAGGCUGUUAGGCUGCCUAGGGGAUGGUUGCUGGCUGGAUUAACCAGAUUUGCCAUUGGCAGGUGGGAGAUUUGCACCCCCAGAAUUAGGCUUGCUACUCCAUUAAGCUUUUGACCACCUAAUUUAAACCAUAUUAUUAUUUUCUAAAUAGGCAACACAUUUACAUUUUAAAAUGCAAAGAGUACAAAAAGAUAGGCCAUGAAAUGUCUUUCUGACCUGGUUCCCCAGGCAUGAAGUUUCCCUCCCAAAGGCAACUAAUCUGAUAGGAGAAUGAGGAAAGGAAGAGGAAGAAAGUCAAUAAGGCCAAUAUUGGGAAGGUUACACUUGAGGAGACCUGGGGCUCAAACCUUCUAGGGCACUGGGAGCCAGUGUAAAAUUUAUCCUGUCUUGUGGAUUUUAGAUAAUCUGUGUGUAUAGGGGAGAUAUUUUAUACAGCAGCAGCAGGCUAUCCACAUUGUGCCAUACCUCGCUUUUGUGUGACUUAAUAUCUCUUGGUAAUUGUUCCAUGUCAGUGCCCAAAAAGCUUCCUCAUUCUUUUUUUUGCAACUGUUCAGUUAUCUAUUUAUGGUUACAUCAUAUUAUAUUUAACCCAUUCUUUACUGGUGUCUGCUCCCAUUUGUUGUUCCAUUUUGAGCACCAGAUUUUAAAACUCAUUCCUAUAGGACACACAAAGGAUUUUAUUUCCUAGGAAGAGCUCCAUGGCUCCCUGACUUGCUCAACUGUUUUAAACCCCCACCCCACAUGGAAUAAGCACACUUCACCAUUCUCUCACAACAACAAUUAAGUCAACUUAUCUUUGAAUAAGUAGCUGGGGGUGGCGGGGACACACCCCUGAAGUGUGGGUUUAGGUUUGUUUGAUUGGG
rnacentral:lncRNA from 1 species